rnacentral:rRNA from 1 species
AUUGAACGCUGGCGGAAUGCUUUACACAUGCAAGUCGAACGGCAGCACGGGGCAACCUGGUGGCGAGUGGCGAACGGGUGAGUAAUACAUCGGAACGUGCCCAAUCGUGGGGGAUAACGUAGCGAAAGCUACGCUAAUACCGCAUACGAUCUACGGAUGAAAGCGGGGGAUCGCAAGACCUCGCGCGAAUGGAGCGGCCGAUGGCAGAUUAGGUAGUUGGUGGGGUAAAGGCUCACCAAGCCGACGAUCUGUAGCUGGUCUGAGAGGACGACCAGCCACACUGGGACUGAGACACGGCCCAGACUCCUACGGGAGGCAGCAGUGGGGAAUUUUGGACAAUGGGCGCAAGCCUGAUCCAGCCAUUCCGCGUGCAGGAUGAAGGCCUUCGGGUUGUAAACUGCUUUUGUACGGAACGAAAAGGCUCUGGUUAAUACCCGGGGCUCAUGACGGUACCGUAAGAAUAAGCACCGGCUAACUACGUGCCAGCCGCCGCCGUAACAC